rnacentral:misc_RNA from 1 species
CGCACAUUGCGCCCUUUGGUAUUCCGAAGGGCAUGCCUGUUCGAGCGUCAUUAUCACCCCUCAAGCACUGGCUUGGUGUUGGGCUCUGGUUAUGGACUUUCCCCAUGACUGGCCUCAAAGAUAGUGACGGCGUCCUAGAAGGAACCGGUACGAGGAGCUUCUAGUUAAGCAUGUACACGGAAUGAUUCUGCGGGCGACGGUCUUUUUUACACUACUCCCAGCGAGUACUUUCAAGUGUUGACCUCGGAUCAGGUAGGGAUACCCGCUGAACUUAA